rnacentral:other from 1 species
GGCUUACUGGGAUGUGCGCCGGCCUGACGAUAAAGUUUGGGGCGCCGAUGAAUGUGCUCGGGGAGGUCAAAUCUCGCGCGGCUUAAUUCAAGCCCUCCUUCUCAGAUGUAGAGGGAUCGGUGAAGCCGGGCGGAGGCCACCCACCUGCCUAAACAGGGUGCACAAACUGUACAGCGCAGCGGCAUCCAUGGUUCGCUG